rnacentral:rRNA from 1 species
AACGUACGCUGGCGGCACGCCUAACACAUGCAAGUCGAACGAAGUAGCAAUACUUAGUGGCAGACGGGUGAGUAACAUGUAGGUAUCUGCCCUUUGGCCUGGAAUAACACGAGGAAACUUGUGCUAAUACCGGAUAAGUCUUUACGGAGAAAGCUUUAUGCACCAUUGGAUGAGCCUGCACUUGAUUAGUUUGUUGGUGGGGUAAUGGCCUACCAAGACUGUGAUCAAUAGCUGAUUUGAGAGGAUGAUCAGCCACAUUGGGACUGAGACACGGCCCAAACUCUUACGGGAGGCAGCAGUGGGGAAUCUUGCACAAUGGAGGAAACUCUGAUGCAGCGAUGCCGCGUGAGUGAAGAAGGCCCUUGGGUUGUAAAGCUCUUUCGUCGGGGAAGAAAAUGACUGUACCCGAAUAAGAAGGUCCGGCUAACUUCGUGCCAGCAGCCGCGGUAAUACGAAGGGACCUAGCGUAGUUCGGAAUUACUGGGCUUAAAGAGUUCGUAGGUGGUUGAAAAAGUUAGUGGUGAAAUCCCAGAGCUUAACUCUGGAACUGCCAUUAAAACUUUUCAGCUAGAGUACGAUAGAGGAAAGCAGAAUUUCUAGUGUAGAGGUGAAAUUCGUAGAUAUUAGAAAGAACACCAAUGCGAAGGCAGCUUUCUGGAUCAUUACUGACACUGA